rnacentral:lncRNA from 1 species
AAAAAAUUGGUUUUUCUGGAGUACAAAAUCCUUGAGUUAAGAGAGUUUUAAAUUUCAUUAUUCAAAGUUCAAGCACGCUCUCUUUUUAACCAAUCUCACUCAUUCCCAACUUCUUCCCUUUUUCCUUUUUACAUUGGGCUCACUUUACAUGUUUUUUUCUUCUUUUGUUCUUUUCUUUUCUUUCUCAUGCAUUUUUCUUUUUCAACUUUUGAACUCAAUGUUUUUCUUUUUCUUUUGUCUUUCAC